rnacentral:rRNA from 1 species
UACGGGGGGAGCAAGCGUUGUUCGGAUUUACUGGGCGUAAAGGGCGCGUAGGCGGCCAGCACAAGUCAGUUGUGAAAUCUCCGAGCUUAACUCGGAAAGGUCAACUGAUACUGUGCGGCUAGAGUGCGGAAGGGGCAACUGGAAUUCUUGGUGUAACGGUGAAAUGCGUAGAUAUCAAGAGGAACACCUGCGGCGAAGGCGGGUUGCUGGGCCGACACUGACGCUGAUGCGCGAAAGCUAGGGGAGCGAACGGG